GGAGAGGUACCGAAGUGGUCGUAACGGGCGCGCCUCGAAAGCGUGUUGUCCGCAAGGGCACGUGGGUUCGAAUCCCACCCUCUCCGCCA
rnacentral:tRNA from 2 species